ensembl:lncRNA
GACAGACCCCCAAACAAUAAAAGAAUGCUGGAAUGAGACCCACAUCCUGCAGAAUGAGCUCGAAGGACUGAUGCUGAAGCUGAAACUCCAAUACUUUGACCACCUGAUGUGAAGAACUGACUCAUUGGAAAAGACCCUGAUACUGGGAAAGAGUGAAGGCAGGAGGAGAAGGGGACAACAGAGGAUGAGACGGUUGGAUGGCAUCACCGACUCGAUGGACAUGAGCUUGAGUAAGCUUUGGGAGUUGGUGAUGGACAGGGAAGCCUGUUGUGCUGCAGUCCAUGGGGUCGCAAAGAGUCGGACACGACUAAAGUGAACUGAGCAGAAAAAAAAACCUUGGCAACCUUAUGUCAGAUCCCAAAAUCUUUUGGAAAUUUUACUGAUUCAUGAAGGCCAAAGUUUGGACUGUAGACUUCUUGGUUAGAACUCCAGAAACACUGCUGGUGCUCAAUAAAUAUCUGUGGACAUAAAGGCAACAUCUCUCCCCACUUUUCUGACUAAAAAAAGGCAACUCUUCUGCCUUUUAUGUUUAAUAAUUCCCUAAAAAAGUCUAAAUUAAGAGUUGUGGGGUUUCAAUACAACCUGUUUGCUCAUGAUGCCUGUGGGGAAAGGAGAUGGGCUGAGCCUCUCUAGAUGGAUGUUGGCUUUCCCACCUGCAGGGAGAUCAGGUGAGGAAUCUCCUCUCAGGUAAAGUUCCUUUUAUCUCCCCUAGGCCCCCAGAGACUUCAAGCAUCUUUGUCUAACCAAUGAAUGCCUUGGUUCCUUACUUAGAAUCUGGUUUUGAGGGAACUCUUCUUUCAUCCUGUAGGUAUUUCUCACUCAAACUCUCUUCUCCAAUCCUUCAGUAAUCAUUUAAUGAGCAUGUCCUCUGUGUCAUCUUCCUAUUUCAUCUGCUAACAGCUUCUAGCUCAGGUCGAUCCUGUGUCUCUUCCUGAACAAUAAUCCAAUUUGCCCUGGCACCAGGGCUCAGCAAGGAAGGCCUAAGCCCUUUAGCCAGAACCUAAGGUUCUAACUGUUUUCCCCAGGCUUUCAGGAUAUUUGCACAAAACUUAAAAUAUCAAUACUUAUUUUUAAAAAGAUCUAAAGGUUCCCUGUGGUCUUCUGUCUUUAUAUUAAGAAAAACUACAGAAUUAGAGAAAAAAAAAAAAAAAAGAAAAGCAGAGAUUUGAAGAAAAAGUGACUAAAAAAAUCUAUAAAAGAGACCAGGUAAAAAAUCUGUAAUAGGAGAUCAGGUAAGAAAACAAACAUUUCAGAGACAUUCCACCCUAUAGCAAAUGCAAUCAGGCACUGCCAAGAGAAACUAUGUUAGAGAAAUAAACACACAGCUUCAAGAA